CGGUUUUUUCCACCACUAUUCAUAGAAUGUAGGGUUUUAGCUUUUAGCCCCAAAACUCAAAACCCUUCGGAUCAAAAAACGUACACCACACACACAAUGGCGACUACAGCGGCUGCCGUCCGAUCAAUUUUCCGGUCAUCAUCCCUCCGUAGCGCGGCGGCGCGUGCAUCCUCUCAAGCCAAAGCCGCUCGCUCUCCUUUCCGUAUCGGUAGUCAGAACUCUCUCUCUAAUCGCAUCUUUAGUUCUCCAGUUGAAUUAAGUGCUUGUUUGGAAUCACUACAACCUUUUCACACUGCUACUGCUUCAGCAUUGAUGACUUCUAUGCUGACCCUUUCUCAACGCGGUUACGGUUGGCUCCCUGAAGGUAUCUAAUCUAGCAACGGGUCAUAGGUCCCUUCUUGAUCUUCUUUCAUUCAGUUUGAGGCGUUGACAAGACUAGAUGAAGAUCAAGAAGCAACAACGGAAUGAUUUGGAUUCGUCUAUUUUGAAUAUUUAUUUGAAAUUUGAAUAGGACAUAUAGGUUGGUCUGCGGUUACCAUCUUUAGAUCAAUAAUUAAUCAAAAAGUUUUGAUAUGAGCAAAGUUUGUAGCAUGGUUCACCAUUUAUCUGUUUAUCUUCAUUGAAUGAAUGAUAUUUGUUUUACUUGCUAAAAAUUACUUGCAAUGAA